rnacentral:lncRNA from 1 species
CUUCAUCUAAUUUAGCUCUAGGUUUUUUUCGGGUUGUUAUGCGAAUUAAGCGUCAUUUUACAUUAAUGCAAGCUAUUGUCGCUACCAUCCUCGGAACAGGAGCAGGUCUAUACGUCUGGCCCCCGGUGUUAAGUAAACAUUUUGAAAAACUACCCAGAGCAGGAAAGGGUGUGGCUCCUGAUUCAUCUGAGACUGCUGGUCCAAAAAAUCCUUCAGAAGCAACUACUUAAUGAGAGAGCAAUUCAAAAUCAAAGAACGUGAACUCUCAACCAGCUGCCUCAGUUGCAUUUCAACAGGGAUGUCUAAGCCAUCAAAGAAUUCACCCUCAUCAGUAUCUCAGUGGGCGGCGAAAUCCCCACUGUCACCGGCUCUUGCAGUUUCAAUUGCAUUAGGAAUUGGAGUCCUUGCUUGGAUGUUUGCGUUAAAGCCACUCGCAGAGAAUUCAAGAAUGUACAGAAACGAGCAAGAAGCUGAGAUAUUACUCCUGGCCUCUCAAAAACCAAAGCCUGAAAUUGUGGAUCAUUUUCGUUCCUAAAAACACGAAAUUUAUGGGUUUUUUUUUUCUUUCUAUCUAGUAAAUUUAUAGAGUACCUAGUUAUGAUAUUUUGUUUUGAGUUUUUAUUGUCUUUUGUGCCUAAACAAAGAGCACGUAGAGCUUGAAUUUUUUUAAUCGUUUACGUGACAAGAGACUUUCAUCUUUGCAAUGGAUUUAUUCUGGCACAUGCACGAGGCAAAAGAAAUAAACAAAUGAGAAAUACAAGCACGCCAAUGUUUUCCCUCUCGUCAGUAAGACUUCAUUCUCUAAAUUAAAAUUUUAUCAAGAAACCAAAACCAACUAUCUAAUUGAUGGCUAAAGAGCAGAACUACGUAUCUCCGUUUGCAACAUUGCAGCCUUCCUUUUCACCAUAACUGGGUGAGGGAAGACCAGAGCAAUGAGAUUCACGAUACAUACUUUAUUAGACACUAGCUGGCCCCCCGCGCUCCGCACGGGCAAUAGGUACUCACUUUCUCAAAUACUAAAUUCAGUUCGUUUGUAAAAUUUUUAUUAAUAGGUAUCAAUGAAAAUCGUUUCAUGGAAAUCGACUAAAAGAAUUUAGAUGCUGCUUUAUUUUAUUUAUGCUACAGAUUUUUACAAGUUUUCAAUUUUCUCAACAAUAGAAGUUUCCAUCAAUUCUAAUGAUUUCGUUUCGUUGUAAUCUUUAUAUUUCUUGCAUUAAGAAUUUUAUACAAUUUUUCUCCCUGUACUUCCGGCAUAUUCGAAUUCCAUGCAGUAUUUUAUGCCAAAAAAAUUCAGAAAAAUUGACACAAAUAUUUGUAACAGUUAAAUGAAACAGGGUUGAACCAAAUAAAUUAAUAGAAAUAAAAAAAAAAAAAAAAAAAAAAUAAAAAAAAAACUCCAAGAGGAAUGAAAAGAACGUUUUAGUAUAUGAAAGAAAGGUUAUAAAAAAUAUGAGAACGGCAACACUAAAAACAGCUGACAAAAAAUUUCAGCGUAGAAAUUUUGUUGUUAUUUUUUUUUCAUGUUUUCAAACAGACAUUUCGUCUUAAGCCGGCUGCACACACAGCAAGUGGGGACCUGCAAGUGGCACAUCGGUGCCGCUUUGUUGAGCGUUGAUCGUGCAAACUGCGCGGCCCGCGCAGUUUGCAC